rnacentral:rRNA from 1 species
AUUGAACGCUGGCGGCAGGCCUAACACAUGCAAGUCGAGCGGAUGAAGGGAGCUUGUUCCUGGAUUCAGCGGCGGACGGGUGAGUAAUGCCUAGGAGUAUGCCCGGCAGUGGGGGAUAACGUCAGGAAACGGGCGCUAAUAUCGCAUACGACCAGAGGGAGAAAGGGGGGGUUCAUCGGACAUCACGCUACUAGCUGUGCCUAGGCCGGAUUAGCUAGUUGGUGGGGUAAAGGCCUACCAAGGCGACGAUCCGUAACUGGUCUGAGAGGGUGAUCUGUCACACUGGAACUGAGACACGGUCCAGACUCCUACGGGAGGCAGCAGUAGGGAAUCUUGGGCAAUGGGCGAAAGCCUGAUCCAGCCACGCCGCGUGAGUGAAGAAGGUCUUCGGAUUGUAAAGCUCUUUUAGUUGGGAGGAACAGAAGUAAGUUAAUACCUUGCUGUCUUGACGUUACCAACAGAGUAAGCACCGGCUAACUACGUG